GUACCUGCUUCGGCAGUACAAUCACUAAAACUGGAACGAUACUGAGAAGAUUAGCAUGGCCCCUGCGAAAGAAUGACACGCAAAAUCGUAAGCGUUUCACAUUUUU
rnacentral:snRNA from 1 species